UACAGAGGGGGCAAGCGUUGUUCGGAAUUACUGGGCGUAAAGGGCGCGUAGGUGGCCUUCUAAGUUGAACGUGAAAUCCCUGGGCUCAACCCAGGAACUGCGUCCAAGACUGGGAGGCUUGAAUCCGGGAGAGGGAUGCGGAAUUCCAGGUGUAGCGGUGAAAUGCGUAGAUAUCUGGAGGAAUACCGGUGGCGAAGGCGGCAUCCUGGACCGACAUUGACGCUGAUGAGCGAAAGCUAGGGGAGCAAACAGG
rnacentral:rRNA from 1 species